GACGAACCGUGCGAACGUUGUUCGGAAUCACUGGGCUUAAAGGGUGCGUAGGCGGGCCAUCAAGUCCGGGGUGAAAUCCUCCAGCUUAACUGGAGAAUAGCCCUGGAUACUGGUGGUCUCGAGUGAGGUAGGGGCAGCUGGAACUUCCGGUGGAGCGGUGAAAUGCGUUGAUAUCGGAAGGAACGCCGGUGGCGAAAGCGAGCUGCUGGACCUCUUCUGACGCUGAUGCGCGAAAGCUAGGGGAGCGAACGGG
rnacentral:rRNA from 1 species